UACGUAGGGCGCAAGCGUUGUCCGGAAUUACUGGGCGUAAAGAGCUCGUAGGUGGUUUUGUCGCGUUGUUCGUGAAAACCGGGGGCUUAACCCUCGGCGUGCGGGCGGAUACGGGCAGACUGGAGUACUGCAGGGGAGACUGGAAUUCCUGGUGUAGCGGUGGAAUGCGCAGAUAUCAGGAGGAACACCGGUGGCGAAGGCGGGUCUCUGGGCAGUAACUGACGCUGGAGGAGCGGAAAAGCGUGGGGAGCGAACAGG
rnacentral:rRNA from 1 species